CACGUAGGCACCAAGCGUUGUCCGGAUUUAUUGGGCGUAAAGAGCUCGUAGGCGGUUCGGUAAGUCGGGUGUGAAAACUUUGGGCUCAACCCAAAGCGUGCACUCGAUACUGCUGUGACUAGAGUUCGGUAGGGGAGUGGGGAAUUCCUAGUGUAGCGGUGAAAUGCGCAGAUAUUAGGAGGAACACCGGUGGCGAAGGCGCCACUCUGGGCCGAAACUGACGCUGAGGAGCGAAAGCGUGGGGAGCAAACAGGG
rnacentral:rRNA from 1 species